rnacentral:rRNA from 1 species
AACGCUGGCGGCGUGCUUAACACAUGCAAGUCGAACGAUGAAGUGGAGCUUGCUCCACUGAUUAGUGGCGAACGGGUGAGGAACACGUGAGAAACCUGCCUCGGAUUUUGGGAUAACAAAUGGAAACGUUUGCUAAUACCAAAUAACGUCGGAGAGCUUCAUGGCUUUCUGACGAAAGGAAUUCCGAUUCGAGAGGGUCUCGCGGCCUAUCAGCUAGUUGGCGGGGUAAUGGCCCACCAAGGCAACGACGGGUAGCUGGUCUGAGAGGAUGGUCAGCCACACUGGGACUGAGACACGGCCCAGACUCCUACGGGAGGCAGCAGUGGGGAAUCUUGCGCAAUGGGCGAAAGCCUGACGCAGCAACGCCGCGUGCGGGAAGAAGGCUUUCGGGCUGUAAACCGCUUUCAGCAGGAACGAAAAUGACGGUACCUGCAGAAGAAGGAGCGGCCAACUAUGUGCCAGCAGCCGCGGUGAUACAUAGGCUUCAAGCGUUGUCCGGAUUUAUUGGGCGUAAAGAGUUCGUAGGCGGUCAAGUAAGUCGGGUGUGAAAAUUCUGGGCUCAACCCAGAGACGCCACUCGAUACUGCUUAACUUGAGUUCGAUAGGGGAGUGGGGAAUUCCUAGUGUAGCGGUGAAAUGCGCAGAUAUUAGGAGGAACACCGGUGGCGAAGGCGCCACUCUGGAUCGAUCUGACCUUAAGGAACGAAAGCAUGGGUAGCAACAGGAUUAGAUACCUGGUAGUCCUGCC